rnacentral:tRNA from 1 species
GGGGAGAUACUCAAGCGGCCAACGAGGGCAGACUGUAAAUCUGCUGUGUAAACUUCGUAGGUUCGAAUCCUACUCUCCCCACUA